GCAACUCGACUACAUGAAGCUGGAAUCGCUAGUAAUCGCGGAUCAGAAUGCCGCGGUGAAUACGUUCCCGGGUCUUGUACACACCGCCCGUCACACCAUGGGAGUCGGGAAUGCCCGAAGCCAGUGACCCAAGCGAGAGCAGGGAGCUGUCGAAGGCAGGCCGGAUAACUGGGGUGAAGUCGUAACAAGGUAUC
rnacentral:rRNA from 1 species